UAUAAUACACCCCCGGCCCACUUCCUUCUCUAUAAAGGCCUCGUAGCUAUAACGAACCCUAAACUCCAGAAAAAUUCCCAAUUUGCGACAAUCAUGGCAUGGUCCAACAACGCGGUCUUUGCUCUCCAAGGCUCCGCUUUCGCAUUCGUGAUUUUAGCCAACGCUGUAUUCUGCACACAUAUGGGUCGAAUCGUGCUAAAAGACUGGGUAGAUAUGAACGAGAGAGAUCUGAAAGGAGCGUUGGAUAUCCGUAAGCUUCGCAAACGAACCUGAGUACUUCUGGCUUGAUGUAAUUAUAACUACUGGUUGGUUUCAUAUCGAAUGCAUCUGGGUACUCAGCAUCGAAACAUGUUCCUCUUUGGGAACUUAUUUGGUUCUCACUUGUAGCCAAUGCCUCAAUUACAGGGAUGAACUUGAGUCUCAUGCUUAACUCUGUCGGCUUUUAUCAGAUAUCGAAGUCCGGUGGUCUCUGUGAUGGAUUGGAUUAUCCACGGUAAAAAUUUCUCAAGGGAAGUCAAGACUGCUGUGGCAGUGGUGAUAAUAGAUGUUGGCAUAUGUACCGUCACCGAUGUUAAAGUUAAUGCCAAAGGUUUUCUCUGUGCUUCUGUGGCCAUCUUGUGUACAUCAUUACAACAAAUGUCAAUAGGUUCAUUACAGAAGAAAUACUCAGUAGGCUCUUUUGAUUGCUUAGAAAGACGGCUCCAA